GUUCUUAUUUGUUGUCCCACAGAGAUACCCAAGUGAAUCAUGAAAUAAAAUACAGGAAGGCAGCAGCAUCAGCCAAAAAAGAAUGUGUAUAGAAACAGCAAUGCAUAAGAUAAGGGAUAAGCAAAGAAACAAUGCAGGAAACUACUUGGGACUGCAUAACCGAAUGGAACUGACAUUAAGGUGCAACUAACUUUGGAAACCCAUAACUUUAAAGAAGGAGUAUAUGACUCUCUCAAAAAAGCAAGUAGUGAAACUGAGCAAAUGUCAGUUCAGCACAGCAUGUUUGACCAGAUGAAGAUCAAGUUCUGGAGAUUCAGCAGGAUAAUAACAAAACCAAAUGAAAGACAAAGUGACAUGAGACAGUUCCAGCACCAUUUGGAUGUAGGUAAGGAAGGAAAGGUUGGAAGUGAUAUACCGUUACCUGAGCUAGACAGUUAGACAGCUGAAUUUAACUGGCACGGUGCAUGCAA